CGACCCGGCGUGAGAUGACAUUUCAAUUUGUGUGUGUGAGUCAACGAGAGAAACAAAAAGAGAGAGAGAGAGAGAGAGAGAGAGAGUGUAAUAUUCCAUUAAACUUUUCCUCUUCAUUUCUCCCCUGCAGUUCCUUUCAUCCUCUCUUCACUUUUUUAAACGAUGAUAAAAGGAGAAAGUGGCUUUCAGCUGAGUCAUUAGGUACCAGGAGAAGAAGAGGAGUCGAUUUUCACCUGAGGAAGUGUUUUCAGCUUUUACUUUUCCUCCUCAUCUCCAUUGGGGACAUCAAUAAACAUUCCCACAUCCUCUCAUCGCUCACUGGCUCAGGAACGUCAUCUCAUCCUCUCCAAUCACAAGCUGUGAAGCAGGAGUGGAGUCUGGAGAUACAGGAGCAACCAUCACCCUGAGCUCCACCACAGACAUAAAGCUGUUUCAUCUAAUAAACAUCAGGUGUGUGUGUGUAUGUAUGAGUGGAAUGAGCUUGGUGUUUAGCGCUCUGGUUACAGUUCUUCUCCUCACGGAUUGUGGAAAGUCUCCUCAGGAUCAUCCAGGAGAACCUUGGUGUAGAUCCAGCUGAGGUGCCUCCUGCUGGACGGAUUGUCUCCCAGUGGACUGGAGAAGGUCUGAAGAUCUGGCAGGAGGAGCUGGAAGGUGUGAUUGGAGAUAAAAGAGAAGACAUGAAAGUUAGGCCAGAGCGGUUGAGCUGAAGAGCUGCACCUGGGAGGAACGUCAUCACUCCAGCGCAGCAGACGAAUGCAGAAGUCGUAUAUGUUGAUGUGAAAGGAGAGAAACGAGGAGCGUGGAAUGUUUAUUAGGACUAAUCGAAGUCGCUACACCAGGCAGGAGGACGUGCGGAGAGAGCGAGUACAGGAAAUCCAUGACUGAUAUCCAGAGACACGAGAGACGAUCGAAACUCGGGGACAAGGCUCAGGAAGGACAGAGAGCAAAAAAAACACACCACUUCAGUGUGAUAAAUACAUAAAAUAACAACAUAAAUCAUUUAUAUUCACUGUAAAUAAUACAAUACCAUCCUGUUUAUGGAUUAUAUACAUUUAUUUAUGGGUGAGAGGUGAGUGAGAGGUGAGUGAGAGGUGUGUGAGAGGUGAGUGAGAGGUACGUGAGAGGUGAGUGAGAGGUGUGUGAGAGGUGAGUGAGAGGUACGUGAGAGGUGAGUGAGAGGUGAGUGAGAGGUGAGUGAG